GCACAGGGGAUCAGAAGUUGGGAUCUAAGGACGAACUAGUCCGUCUCGGCUUCUCUUCCCCGGCAAGGCCCACAGAUUGGCCUACACUAUCCAGACAACAAGCACAGAGCGGAUGGAUUUCAGGAAGCCCACCGAGCAAGCGACUUUAGAGGCCUUAAGUUGGGAAGAAUUCUGGAAAUCCCUGAAGAUCAUCCCCCUCACCUUCAAUGAAUGCAGAAUAAUGUUUGGAAAGAUGUAGACCACUAUUGCUAAAUGAGAGGGAGUCGGGAAUAGGAAGCAAGGAAGAACACAGAACUACGUUGCUGGAUUGGGCCCAGGGUCUAUCUAGUCAGUAUCCUGCUUCCCACAGUGACAAGGACAAUGAGGAAUAGUUAUAUACCACUUUUCAACAAAAGUCUCCAAAGCAGUUUACACAGAGAAAUAAAAAUAAAGAUGGAUCCCUGCCCCACAAAGAGCUCAUAAUCUAAAAAGAAACAUAAGAUAGACACCAGUAACAGCCACAGCAUCCAGUCAGAUGGCUCUGGAAAGCCCACAAGCAGGAGAUGAGGGCAAUACCCGCUUUCUCACUCUUGCACCCCCAGCAACUGCCUCUGUUCUGAACAUGUAGGCGACAUACAGACAUCAUGAUUAGUAGCAACUGCUAGUAGCCAUUGAAGGAACAAGGAGCCAGUUGAAAUCCAGUGGUUUUCAGCUCUCAAACUUUCUACAAUGUUCUACCAAAAUCCACAGUGUUGGAUUUUCUCAAAGUCUGAGUCAAACAUUUGGUGUCUUUGGACGAGAGUGUCUCGAUAUUACCCCAACGACUGCAGUUCAUCUGGAGUGCACUCAUUGGUGCCUCAGGCAGCAGAAUGAAAAGAAGACUCCUGAGAUGGAAAAAUGAAUUGUAUUACUUUAGGCUGCAGGUGUGAGAUCAAUUGUAUAAAUACUCCCUUAUGUAAACCAUUCCCUGCAGUUAGAAAACUAGCACAGCAGGGAAAGGAUGGGUCUAGGCUCUAGAACCUUUCCCCCCAUAUGUUAGCUUUCUACUUGCAAGGAUUUAUUUAUUUAUUUAUUUAUAGGAAAGCAUUUGAAAAUAGCAGUAGGAUAUUAUUGAUCUGAAUUGGGGUCCCUCACAUUCUUCCAGCUUAGGGCUCUACUAAUUCAUCCUACUGCAUGUGUAGAUUCAGCCUCAGUCCUUUUGAAAUCACUGUGGUUUAUUUCUGAAUAAAUUUGGAUGAGAUUG